AGUGGCAGUCACAUUUUACCAGUUUCACUGAUGUGGCCGUUACAUUGUAGUGUGACAUUAAAGUGGAGUUACAGUUGGUUGAAACACUGAAGUGAGGGUGGUGCAUACACUGAAUUGGUGAUCACAUUUUAGCAAGGACACAGAAGUGUCAGUCACAUUGUAAUGGUGACACAGCUGUAGCUUUCUCCUUUAAUGGUGAUCAUAGGGUUUUAGUUACAUUGUAGUGAGGACACUGUUGUAGAUG